UGGGGAAUAUUGGACAAUGGGCGAAAGCCUGAUCCAGCCAUGCCGCGUGUGUGAAGAAGGUCUUCGGAUUGUAAAGCACUUUAAGUUGGGAGGAAGGGCAGUAAGUUAAUACCUUGCUGCUUUGACGUUACCGACAGAAUAAGCACCGGCUAACUCUGUGCCAGCAGCCGCGGUAAUACAGAGGGUGCAAGCGUUAAUCGGAAUUACUGGGCGUAAAGCGCGCGUAGGUGGUUUGUUAAGUUGGAUGUGAAAGCCCCGGGCUCAACCUGGGAACUGCAUCCAAAACUGGGAAGAUAGAGUACGGUAGAGGGUGGUGGAAUUUCCUGUGUAGCGGUGAAAUGCGUAGAUAUAGGAAGGAACACCAGUGGCGAAGGCGACCACCUGGACUGAUACUGACACUGAGGUGCGAAAGCGUGGGGAGCAAACA
rnacentral:rRNA from 1 species